AUUGAACGCUGGCGGCAGGCCUAACACAUGCAAGUCGAGCGGAAGAAGGGAGCUUGCUCCUGGAUCCAGCGGCGGACGGGUGAGUAAUGCCUAGGAAUCUGCCUGGCAGUGGGGGAUAACGUCCGGAAACGGGCGCUAAUACCGCAUACGUCCUGAGGGAGAAAGUGGGGGAUGUUCGGACCUCACGCUAUCAGAUGAGCCUAGGCCGGAUUAGCUAGUUGGUGGGGUAAAGGGCUACCAAGGCGACGAUCCGUAACUGGUCUGAGUGGAUGAUCAGUCACCCGGGAACUGGGACACGGUCCAGACUCCUACGGGAGGCAGCAGUGGGCAAUAUUGGACAGUGGGCGAGAGCCUGGUCCAGCCAUGCCGCGUGUGUGAAGAAGGUCUUCGGAUUGUAAAGCCCUUUAAGUUGGGAGGAAGGGCAGUAAGUUAAUACCUUGCUGUUUUGACGUUACCAACAGAAUAAGCACCGGCUAACUUCGUG
rnacentral:rRNA from 1 species